ACUGCAUUAUAGUCUGUUUCAAUCAAAAGGUAAGUUUACUGCAUUAUAGUCUGUUUCAAUCAAAAGGUAAGUUUACUGCAUUAUAGUCUGUUUCAAUCAAAAGGUAAGUUUACUGCAAUAUAGUCUGUUUCAAUCAAAAGGUAAGUUUACGGCAAUAUAGUCUGUUUCAAUCAAAAGGUAAGUUUACUGCAAUAUAGUCUGUUUCAAUCAAAAGGUAAGUUUACGGCAUCGAUUCUUUGAAAGUCUGCUUCAAACAGAAGAAAUUCACAAUGACUUUUCUAUUUCACUAUGUUUUAAUUUUUUUUUCCUAUUAAUAUUCGACGAACAACACGAAGUUGUCAUUGAAGUAAACCUGAGGAUUUGAACUCACUUCUACUAGCUUAACCCCAUCUCUUUUAUUUAAUAGGUAAUCCUAAUCUCUCUUUAUAUAUAUAAAGAGAGAGAGAGAGUAGUUUUUAUUUGCAUGUGUCCAUUGUUGUCUCUGCGCUUGGUCAAAUCAUGUACUAUAAAAGUUACAAUCUAUUUCAUAAUCUCAUUCGCUUGAAGUUCACAUUUGGGUAUUAGAAAACAAUUGUUGACAUGCCAUUUGGUAUUCAUAAUAGUCAAACAUUUUAUACAAAACAAAACAUAUUGCGAGAGACAUAGAUAAACUUAAAUCUGAAGCACAUUAUAUGGAUAUAUGUACAGAGUAGGUCAAUGAGUUACACACAUAGAAACCGCGCAGUAAGCACACAUAGAGAGGAAUCAAACCGUUCAUGUGCUCACCAGAUACACACACACACACAGAAACAUGAAACACUCGCUAGCAAAAAACAUGCAUACGUUUAGUCCAUUAAAGGCACACAUUAAAUGAGAACUAUUUACACAGAGUGAGACCCACUGGUGAGAACCAUUUUUGAUCAUAUAGCUUUGGCAAAUCUUUCGGAACUGUACACAGCCUCAUGAACAUUGAAACUAAUGCUUAUAGUAUACACAAAGAACCAAACAUUUUAUUACUACCAUAUCAAGGGAGAUAAUAUGUAACCUUUAUACAAAGUCACAAAUCAACGAUAGUCUCCCUUUGUAUGGUUGAACAUUAGGUUCCAGAGCUUAUAUAAUUCCAAACAAAACCAAGUAGUCUCGAUGCACACAUAUGACGUUUUGUGUGUGGCACGUGUGUGUAGUACCUGGUCAAAUGGUUCCAAACCAAAUUUAGAAAAAAAGGAAAAAAGAUUUUCGUUUCGCAAAAUGUAAAAUCUUGUGUUACGUUUUGACUUGAAAUGUAACACUAAUGAUGUUGAUUUCUUUACUGUACAUAUCGGGACUAGAAAAAUAAAAUUACUUAACGACAUAUUGAUAAAGAAAAAUUGUUUUGUUUUCUUUUGCUCUAGUUAACAACUGCUGCUACCUGCUUCAGAGUUAUUCCUUGAUUGGCCCUUAUUGACUGUACAGGAACAGAAAGAUUUCAAGAAUGAGAACGACAGGUCUAAAUUCUUUCCUAGACUAGACUUUUGAUUAAUUAAAACAAUGUGCUUGCCCUAAUCAACUACUGGGACUUUCUUGUUUUAUAAAUCUUGUGUGUGUGUGUGUGUGUGUGCUAAAGACAAACAACAAACUCUAUUUCCAUUGAACGUGUUUACAAACCUCGUAGCACUACACCACGAGCAGGACAGUGUGACAAACUUCUUCUUGCCUAUGUGGAGAAAGAGAUUAGAACUAUACUCCCUAUAAUAUCAAUCCACUGAGGAAAAUAUUUUUCAUUGGAUUAACCUCCAUAGUUUUAUGACGUAACUUUCCUCAUUUUGACCUGAAUAGAAACAGUUCAUUACUUCUUUUAAAUAUAUUAUUUGACAGAUUCUAACUUUAUAAAUUAAAACAACACUUUUUGUUUGUUUGUUUCCAAAAGCGAUUGCUCAGCUUACUUAGAACUUUCUAUUUUUAGUAUCCAAUUCAAACGUUGACAACGAUAUCAAAUUUAAACUGAUAUACACGAUGAUUGAAAGAGAAAUCGCCAAAACCAUGACGCUUUAUUUCAAAAAAAAUAAUUGACUCCCAGCUGGACACUAGUGUUGUAUAAAGCUUUAAGUUUGUAUUUUAUUCUUUACAAGUGCUCAGUGUGACCACCACUGGCGGCACGGACAUCAAGCCGAUAGGACAUUUCUCCCAAACACACUUCAUGAUGUCCCGUCCCCUGUGUUCACAUAGAACAAGCUCUCUAGCACCUCUUCUGGGAAGUCGACAUUUGGAGGGUAAAUAAACACAUGAGUUUCCCACAAAGACAAAUUAAAAUUGACACCCAGUUAAACAAUGACAACUUCUGUAUCAAAUAAACACAAAUUCAGUCCAUUAAAUGCUUUAAAAUGAAUAAAUGCGUGAUUAUUUUGGCGCAUUCUUUUUUAAUCACCCUAUAUAAAUAGGGUCAUCCAUGUCUGGAAUUGUUUUAGCGCGUGAAAAAAAAAUAACACAGUCAUUUGGAAUAAAGAUACAUUCGUUUUACCGGUAUAUUUAUAAACAUAUAAAAACAAAGACAAAAUAUACAUGUUUAUAAAUAUACAAGUCGAAAGAUACCAUUAAAAAGUUACUAUAAAGUAAUGGCACAAAGAAACAAGUAAAUAUGUUACAAUGUCUUGAACACCAGCCAUCCAGAUAACAAAGAAAAAUGUACAGAUAAGUAGGUCAAACGUUAACCAAUCAAUAUAUGCAGUACAGAUAAGUAGGUCAAACGUUAACCAAUCAAUAUAUGCAGUACAGAUAAGUAGGUCGUACGUUAACCAAUCAAUAUAUGCAGUACAGAUAAGUAGGUCAAACGUUAACCAAUCAAUGUAUGAAGUACAUCAAGUUGAACAGACUGUACACAGCUAGAAUGACAUCAAACGUAAUGGGUAACAUCCGAGAAAAGAGUGAUCUGUUCUAUAUACAGAUUAUUUUAUACAUCUUAAUGAAACAUUCAAAUCUCUUUGAUUGUGUACAACAGAAGUUCCAAACAAACGGAAAGCCAACAAACAAAUUUAUAAAUACAUGACCAAAAAAUAAUAAAUUAUACAUUAAGGAAGUCAAAUUGUACACUUAAAUAGUAUUGCGAGGAGGACCUUUAUACGUGUAGACAUAGUGACUAAUUCUGUCUUCAUAAUUCUAAAUUAUAAAAUAUAAUAAAUAAUGCUCCCUUAUGAGGUGUAAAGAGUACAUAAAUCUAAAUAUCUAAUAUUUCUAAUUUUGGGUUCACAAAAAUUGACAUAAAUGGGGAACUCAUUGCCACAGACAAAAGCGUCAACUAAAAUAAAAGCAUCAUUUAAUGUUUCUUAGAUGAUACAUUUGUAAUUUGGGACUAAGAGAAUGAUAAAAUUGUAUUUUGUUGUUAUUCUUCUAACUUUCCACUACGUUAUAACGUUAGUAUAUAUUGAAACUAUUUGUUUACAAAACCUGUCUUUGGCCUACAAUUAGAAAACAUGAACUUUAGAAAACGUGAACUCAACUCAAUUACAAAGAAUGAAGAUGAAUAUUUUUUUGUAGAAUAGAUUAAAUAAUUUAAAAAAAUAGUAUACUUAUCUGUGAGAUAUAAAAAAAAUAGAUAUGACUAAUUUACGAAGUUAUAAGUACAAUGGGUGUUACAGGCGCGUAUUCAGUAGCCGUAUAAGGGGUGGGGGGGGGGAGAUCAGUCUGACCCAGAGGCUUAUUUUUUUUUCUAAUUUCCUUUAAGUAAGUUUUAACCCGAAGCAAUAACAGAGAAUAAAUUACCAUUCAUUACGGUUUGGGGGGAGGGGUAAUGCCAUAAUUAAAU
rnacentral:sRNA from 1 species